CUAACUAACCUCACCAGGAUAUUGAAAACCAAAUUAUUUGCAGUGAGCUACAAGAACCUUGUAGGCAGCUACCACCAACUUACCAAGAGACCAUCUUUUUCUCAGAGUGGUGGUUACAGAAAUCUGUUCCGCCAGUUGAUUUCCCUGGACUAUGACCCUACUAUUGGUGCCCCACCUCAAAUACAUUCUGUUCCCAGCCAGCAUGAACGUACAGGAAACCAUUUCUAA
rnacentral:lncRNA from 2 species